rnacentral:rRNA from 1 species
CACGUAGGGUGCGAGCGUUGUCCGGAAUUAUUGGGCGUAAAGAGCUCGUAGGCGGCUUAGUAAGUCGGGUGUGAAACCUCCAGGCUCAACCUGGAGACGCCACCCGAUACUGCUGUGGCUAGAGUCCGGUAGGGGAGCGUGGAAUUCCUGGUGUAGCGGUGAAAUGCGCAGAUAUCAGGAGGAACACCAGCGGCGAAGGCGGCGCUCUGGGCCGGUACUGACGCUGAGGAGCGAAAGCGUGGGGAGCAAACAGG